rnacentral:rRNA from 1 species
AGAGCGAACGCUGGCGGCAGGCUUAACACAUGCAAGUCGAGCGGGCGUAGCAAUACGUCAGCGGCAGACGGGUGAGUAACGCGUGGGAACGUACCUUUUGGUUCGGAACAACACAGGGAAACUUGUGCUAAUACCGGAUAAGCCCUUACGGGGAAAGAUUUAUCGCCGAAAGAUCGGCCCGCGUCUGAUUAGCUAGUUGGUGAGGUAAUGGCUCACCAAGGCGACGAUCAGUAGCUGGUCUGAGAGGAUGAUCAGCCACAUUGGGACUGAGACACGGCCCAAACUCCUACGGGAGGCAGCAGUGGGGAAUAUUGGACAAUGGGCGCAAGCCUGAUCCAGCCAUGCCGCGUGAGUGAUGAAGGCCCUAGGGUUGUAAAGCUCUUUUGUGCGGGAAGAUAAUGGACGGUACCGCAAGAAUAAGCCCGGCUAACUUCGUGCCAGCAGCCGC